AAAUUGAAGAGUUUGAUCAUGGCUCAGAUUGAACGCUGGCGGCAGGCCUAACACAUGCAAGUCGAACGGUAACAGGAAGCAGCUUGCUGCUUUGCUGACGAGUGGCGGACGGGUGAGUAAUGUCUGGGAAACUGCCUGAUGGAGGGGGAUAACUACUGGAAACGGUGGCUAAUACCGCAUAACGUCGCAAGACCAAAGAGGGGGACCUUCGGGCCUCUUGCCAUCAGAUGUGCCCAGAUGGGAUUAGCUUGUUGGUGAGGUAACGGCUCACCAAGGCGACGAUCCCUGGCUGGUCUGAGAGGAUGACCAGCCACACUGGAACUGAGACACGGUCCAGACUCCUACGGGAGGCAGCAGUGGGGAAUAUUGCACAAUGGGCGCAAGCCUGAUGCAGCCAUGCCGCGUGUAUGAAGAAGGCCUUCGGGUUGUAAAGUACUUUCAGCGGGGAGGAAGGUGUUG
rnacentral:rRNA from 1 species